GCCCACUGCCCUGCUCCUGCAGACAGAGCCUCAGGGGAGCUCAUCACGUGCCAGCCGAGCAGGAGUUGAGGCCAGAGUAAUACGGAAAUGAAAAAAGAAAAGGAUUGCCUAAUCCACUAGUAAGAUGUAGCCACUUUGAGGGAGCAACACGGCUUAAUGUAGCAGUCCUACAGGCCUCGGUCCAGGAAUAAGUUUAAAGGAGGUGGUGACAAGGCAGCCACCAGCCUACAGUUCAGUGUACAGGUGUGUCCAAGGUCGCUAGGGUGUAGCACAACUGUACCACGUGGAAUAUCCCUUCCCUGACAGCAUAAACGACUGUGGGUGUCCUCAUUUUUCCAGCACUAUGCAACAUAUGUUCGAAGCAGAGCUCUCCUUGGAUAACGCUGGAGCAGGAGCAUUUAUCACUUCCACCAGUUAGACCACAUCUAAGAGGCAGGCAUCCAGAAGACAAGAGGCACCACCGAGGGGCCAUUUGUGAACAAACACAGUUUAAGUGAUUUGCCCCAUCUCUGCAUAGGAAAUUGGAGCAUCCAAAUGCAGCGUAAGACCCUGGAGCUCUGGAACACUUACCCUGGCUGGACUGCUCGGCUUCCCGAGCCACCGUGCCCUUACAAAGGCGUCUGCCAGCUUUUCCACUUCUAAGGGAGAAGAGCUUCAUAUGGAAAUUCUGAGCCAUUCUCAAGGCAUGUCCAUUAUGACAAAGAUAACGAAGAAAGACAGAAAUGGUCCACAUCACAGACUGGCCAGGAUACAAUACUCUCAAGGAAAAGAAACGGAGGUAUUUUGAAACUAUUCUGCGUGCUUUGGAAUAUAGGCAGUUUACACAGAUGCUUGAUAAAGCGCUUACACCCUGGCAGCUUCUCACAGUUGUUGCUGCCGCUGCUGCUGUUCCUUGCACCUCCUCCCCCAGAUAACACGCCAUGGUAUAAGUAAGUUUUCCUUAAUUGAAAAGAGACAGGGUCGCACCACAGCUAUCCCAGCCAGACUCUGGGAAGGUUCUUCCACACAGGACAUCGAUGAAGGAUAUUUUUCUGACUCAUUCAGCCUUAGGCAAAGCAGAAUCCAUGUGGAGCAGGGUCCUGUACCUCUCCAAGUAAGGCAGGACUUGCUUUGCUGGCUUGGACCAGGGCCCCAGCAUAGCUGUAGCCUUGUCCCAGGGGGCACUUGAUGCUUCCCAGGAAGGUGUCCCAGGCCCCCUUACGGAUAAAUAGAGAAUAACCUGCCUGCCAGGCAAGGUGGGUUUUGACAAGCUGCCCCCUUCCCAUACACACACACACAGAGUCUGAUGCAUGAACCUUUGGGCCUGUCUUAAAAAUGUUGUCUGGACAUGUCUGAAGGUCUUAUAUUUUAUGUAUGUAUCAAAUUGAGACUCUGAUUCCUGCACACUGAACCAAGAGAUGAGGGUGAACCAGAGAGGCCUUCUGGCUUUGAUAAAAGCUGGUCUGAAAGAACCAGUGUCAGGAGAGUGAGAUUUGCUUAGAAAACUGUGGUUCCCUGAGAACUGGCUUGCUGCACACAAGCUUUGGCUGGUGUCCCUCCAGCAAUCCUUCCUGGGCUAGUUAUCUCCCAUCCAGAACAUAACUGUACAGUCUCCGUGCAGCAGCUAGUGUAGAUCAUGAAGCAAAAGCGGUCCAGAGACUAAAACACAGGGCUGGCAACUCUUCUAAUCUAAUCGUUGUUCUCCGACUAAUUUAGUAUCCCCUUUAUUUAGAAGAUACACAGUGCUGUGCAGAGGCUGCUCUGGAGUCAUGUCCCAUGUGGACACUCUCACUCUGAAGUUAAGAGUGCAGCUCCUUUUCAGGAGGGCUAAUCUCCCUCCCGCUGAAUCCUCACUGAUGAUUAGUACAGGACAUGCAGUACAUUCCCAUAGCAGCUCAGAAAACUCCUAGGAUGGGGAAACCCAUAAUAAUUUGCCACUUCAUUUCUAACUUUAUUGAAAGGCUUCCCGUGUCUUCAAAGAAAAUGGGAAUGUUUCUGGAGUUGUUUUUCUCUCUCUUGCCUUGCAGUUUUAUGCCUGUGUUGAAAUUCCACAGGAAGGAGAAUAUCAAUGUUUUCAUUAGUCUUUCUGAAGAAAUUUCCGCUAAGCAUUAUUAUUUAAAGUUCUGUUGAUUUUAUGCCAGUGAAAUUGUCAAGAACUUCAUCAUAUAGAAGUGUCCAAGAAAAGGUGUUAGUAGUACAGAUCUAACUCACAGAUGGCUUUGGAAUAGGCUAGCUAAGGCUUGUCAAGUGUUUUUCAUGUGCUACAGAGAGGCAAUUCCUGCAAGUAAGCUGUCUGAAAUGUAAUAUCCCUGCCCUGCCUUAUUGAAACUUUGCCGUACACUCACAAUGAUCAGAUCUGAUUUUCCAUGAUCAAUCCUUUGUGUUUCCUACCCCAGUAUUGUCCCAGAGUGGUAUACUCUUUCUCCUACAGAGUUUAUCUCUGAAUCCUGCAAAUAUUCUGGAGUUCUAUUGAAUGAAUAUAGGGAGAAGCUUUCUGCAUCACGUACAUGAGGUAACUGUUCUGAGCUCUCUCUCUAUUUCUUUUUUUUUUUUGGUGUUGAGGGAACUACUUGAAUUUUGAUGCACAGAAGGGAAAUGGGUGAAGGCAGAUUGGGAGGUAAAAGACAGGUGAAUAGAGAUGUUGUAUGGAUGCCUUAGCCAGCCACUCAGUGUGUCCUCCCUCCUCCUCUCUAUCGUACUGCAGCCUCUUCUAGGGAAAACAAAGGUGUCAUGGCAGCUUCUCCAGCUCCACAGCUAGAGAAAUAGCUGCUUUGCCCACUGGUAAGCUGGGAAGAAGGAUUUUUCCUCCCCUCCCCAAGAGACUGCUAUGCAAAACUUUUAUGACUUGAGUGAGGAGAGCAAGUGGAAGAGAAUGCUCCCCCAGACAGUGGGGAUGAGGAGAACAGCUGACAGCUUGCCAUGUGCAGCUUGCAGAUCUCAGCAGUUUGUGGUGCUGUGGAACAGAUUUUGAAGGAAAGGAGAAAUACAGGAGGUAAGGGGAAAAUAGGACAGCGUGCAUCAUCUUUUGAUGAAAGCUAAAAUUCCCUACCUUCUAGGUAAAAGAAACAUAGCAGACCAUAUCUACCUAGACUUCAGCGAGGCAUAAGAUCCCAGAAGAAGCAAAUUAUUUUAAAAGACUCAGCUGAAUAAGGCAGGGAUUAUUAGAAAAAUCCUCAAGUGGGUAAGAGACUGAUGGAAUUGAAACACAAGUUCCCUAAUAGGUUGAAAGAAAAUUAUCUGUGAGGCUGCUCAAAGAUUGCACUUAGGACUGAUCUUUCUUAAUAUUUUCAUUAAUUACCUUGACACUGAAAGUAGAAAUGCUAAUGAAAUCUGCUGAUGGAACAGAGCCUAUCAUCAGGACAGAGGUGAUUCCAGCACCAGGAGAACUGAAGGCUCUCCACAACUGGAGUGAUCAAGGACAGAGAGUGAGAGAGCAGUGUGGUGGAGUUCAGCUGCCCAUCAGUGUGAAAACACCAUACAGACCAGAGUACCAAACCAGCAAAGAAUGAGAAAAGAAGAAAAAAGAAACAAGGUGGAGGAACAAAACCAUGGAGAGCCAAAGGAUUUGUCCAAAUGAUUAUUUUGUGAUAUGUGUUGGCUGGAUUCUGAAGCCUUCUGUGAACAACGAGAAUUACAGCAAAUGGAGAGGGCAGGAGGACACUGCUGGCCCAAGCAGAACAGAAAGAUGAUACCAAAGUGUGCUUGCACUGUGCUAAGACUCCUGUAUGAGCUCGUGGAGAAACCUGGUGAUAAAACCUGACAAGUAUCGAACUGGAUGGGAACUCACAUUUUGUUUCCAAGUGCAACAAAGCUGUGAGGUGGUUCAUCUGGAAGACUGUGAUUGGAAGACUGGAAGACUAAAUAUUGAUGAGAGACUGCUCUGCUCACUGGCUUUGAGGGCAAAUGAAACAGCGCAGUGUAUGUCUGUUUGCCUCUCCACUCCCUCCCUCAGACCCUAAGCAGGGUGCUUUUGUCCAUGCUGCACUGUGGGAGCCGUUAUUAGUCAGGCCGGCAUCUGAUCCCUCCUAGGAGAGCAUCAAUGGCCUGGAGAGAAAUUGGCAGAGAACAUGCUGACAGUUAAACAAUACCAAUGACAGCAGGAUCAUAUUGGAGCCUGUGCCUCGGUCCUGUUAGCUUGUGAGUUAUAGAUGUACCUCCACUGUCUGAGAGUAAGUUAGGUUUGGAAGAGGACGAAGGUCAGAAAGUAAGCAGUGAAAAUAUGACUGCACCACUGAGCUCAAGGAGAGAUGAGCUGUCCUUUAAAUUGCAACCUGCUACAUUUAUUGGAUUGCCUUUUGGACUGUGGAAUAAUGGGUAAGAUGAUGGAUUCUUCAACUUGUGACUGCCAAAAUAUGUGGAUAAGGACAUAAUCAACAUCUUCACUAAGCUUAUGAGCUGAUGCAGAAAAUGUUUUGUUUAUGUCUGGACUGAUGUGUGGGUCAGUGCUAGAGCUGGGAUUAUUCUCACAGAGAUGAGUGUCUCUAUCCUGUAGUGUCUAUGGCGUCUGGAUGAGCAGAGCAAGCCAGCCUCUGGGCUUCAGCUUACCAGUCUGGUGCACAGCUUGCUCUCUACUAGGCACUGAGUACAAGCUGGAAUGGAGGCAGGAUAAGCAACCAAGGUAAUAAAUAACAGUAUAAAUAGUCCUGAGAUAACUUCAGAGAAAGUCCAUCUUUGAAAAACAGUAUUUGUGUGCUAACAUGGU